rnacentral:rRNA from 1 species
AGAGUUUGAUCCUGGCUCAGGACGAACGCUGGCGGCGUGCUUAACACAUGCAAGUCGAGCGAUGAAGCUUCUUCGGAAGUGGAUUAGCGGCGGACGGGUGAGUAACACGUGGGUAACCUGCCUCAUAGAGGGGAAUAGCCUUUCGAAAGGAAGAUUAAUACCGCAUAAGAUUGUAGUACCGCAUGGUACAGCAAUUAAAGGAGUAAUCCGCUAUGAGAUGGACCCGCGUCGCAUUAGCUAGUUGGUGAGGUAACGGCUCACCAAGGCGACGAUGCGUAGCCGACCUGAGAGGGUGAUCGGCCACAUUGGGACUGAGACACGGCCCAGACUCCUACGGGAGGCAGCAGUGGGGAAUAUUGCACAAUGGGGGAAACCCUGAUGCAGCAACGCCGCGUGAGUGAUGACGGCCUUCGGGUUGUAAAACUCUGUCUUUGGGGACGAUAAUGACGGUACCCAAGGAGGAAGCCACGGCUAACUACGUGCCAGCAGCCGCGGUAAUACGUAGGUGGCAAGCGUUGUCCGGAUUUACUGGGCGUAAAGGGAGC